rnacentral:rRNA from 1 species
AACGCUGGCGGCAGGCCUAACACAUGCAAGUCGAGCGGUAGAGAGGUGCUUGCAUCUCUUGAGAGCGGCGGACGGGUGAGUAAUGCCUAGGAUCUGCCUGGUGGUGGGGGAUAACGUUCGGAAACGGACGCUAAUACCGCAUACGUCCUACGGGAGAAAGCGGGGGAUCUUCGGACCUCGCGCCAUUAGAUGAGCCUAGGUCGGAUUAGCUAGUUGGUGAGGUAAUGGCUCACCAAGGCGACGAUCCGUAACUGGUCUGAGAGGAUGAUCAGUCACACUGGAACUGAGACACGGUCCAGACUCCUACGGGAGGCAGCAGUGGGGAAUAUUGGACAAUGGGCGAAAGCCUGAUCCAGCCAUGCCGCGUGUGUGAAGAAGGUCUUCGGAUUGUAAAGCACUUUAAGUUGGGAGGAAGGGUAGUAACCUAAUACGUUGCUACUUUGACGUUACCGACAGAAUAAGCACCGGCUAACUUCGUG